rnacentral:rRNA from 1 species
CAGUCGCCGCGGGAACACGUAGGUGGCAAGCGUUGUCCGGAAUUAUUGGGCGUAAAGGGCUCGCAGGCGGUUUCUUAAGUCAGAUGUGAAAGCCCCCGGCUCAACCGGGGAGGGUCAUUGGAAACUGGGAAACUUGAGUGCAGAAGAGGAGAGUGGAACUCCACGUGUAGCGGUGAAAUGCGUAGAGAUGUGGAGGAACACCAGUGGCGAAGGCGACUCUCUGGUCUGUAACUGACGCUGAGGAGCGAAAGCGUGGGGAGCGAACAGGAUUAGAUACCCGCGUAGUCCCUGUCUCUUAUAC